ensembl:snoRNA SNORD67 small nucleolar RNA, C/D box 67
UGUGAGAGUGAUGAGUUGCACACUGGUGGAGCCAUGGUAUCAGGUGAUACAGGCAUCACUCAGUAUCACCCUGGUGACAAAAUCAAGUGCACAGGGGCCAUCUGACUCACA